GAGGGUUACGUUAGUUUGUAGCUCUGAGGUCAGACGGAAAUCACCCAGAGUUACUUUCGGUUUGGUCCUUUAUUUGUUGUUGUGGAUUCUGGAUGAGCUCAUUCUCUCAGUGUCAGGUGUGAAGGUCUUAUCGGAGCUGAUGUCCGUGUUUUCGCGGACAUGAGGAGAGUUUCUCUCUCUUUCUGUGUUCGCUCUGUUUUUCCUGCUCUGAUCUGUGAACAUGGAGCGAUCAGCUGCUCUCUGCCUCCUCUCCUUGCUGCUCCUGGCCGUGCCCUGCUGCUCCCAGCCCGGGCUUAUUCAGGCAUACUUUCGGCCUGGAGGCGCUCUGGUUCUGCAGCCUGUGCCGCCGGUCACUGAAAGCAUCACCAGCGUGGUGUGGAAACGCAACAACGACCUGCUGGCCGAGUGGGCGGAGGGAGUGAGUGAGGUGGGAUACUACGGACGGUUCAGAAGCCGGUCAGUGCUCAGCACCGGACCGGACGCCUGCGCGUCAGCGGCGCGUCUGCAGAGGACGCUGGAGUGUUUUCAGUGGAGGUCAACGACGAGCCUGCAGCCGUGGGUGAGGUGCCCCAGCCUGAGGCCUUUGUGACACCUCUGGCCUGCAGUCAGGCCUCCUCUCGGUGCUUACUGCACUGCUAUGGACACACUGCAGACCCCGAGGACAUCACCUACUACUGGAAGAUGGGCGAUGGAGAGUGGGAGGAGUCAGAAAAGAAGAUAGAGAUCCUCAGUGUUAAUGAGCUGCACCAUGUGAGAACUUUCUCCUGCAGGAUGAAGAACCCAGUGAGUGAGAAAGACAGCGAGCCCAUCAAUAAUCCUUUUUACAGACAGAGCAGCCCACCUGACUCUGCAGGAUGGACAGAUGUGGCGGUCACUGUGGGCGGAGCUUUUGCAGCUGCUGCCCUGGUUUCUGUGGCUCUGUUUGUAUUUUGUCAGAGAGAAUUUAUCUGGAAAAGCAUUAAGAAACUCGAAAGGAGGAUUUCUGUCCCACAGGACUCAGUGACGUGUAACUCUGUGUAAAGCUUCAUCAGCCUGGGUUUGAUGUUUGUGCGUUGUUCGCCGUUCAGUGUUCUAGUGAAAAGAAACUGCUGAACUACCAGUAACAGUCCUGUGAAUGCAAAUGAGUUGUUUUCUCCUUAUUUCUUCAUCAUGCCAGGUCUCUCUUGGAAAUAAGAUUUUUAAUCUCAGUGAGAUUUUUACCUGGAUAAAUAAAGGAAUAAU